CGGGACGGGUGAGUAAUGUCUGGGAAACUGCCUGAUGGAGGGGGAUAACUACUGGAAACGGUAGCUAAUACCGCAUAACGUCGCAAGACCAAAGAGGGGGACCUUCGGGCCUCUUGCCAUCGGAUGUGCCCAGAUGGGAUUAGCUAGUAGGUGGGGUAACGGCUCACCUAGCGACGAUCCCUAGCUGGUCUGAGAGGAUGCCAGCCACACUGGAACUGAGACACGGUCCAG
rnacentral:rRNA from 1 species